AUGCUUAUUCCGAGGGGAAUGAGACAUAUUGAGCCCUCGAGCGAGGAGGACACAGACAGGCAGCAGGGUUAGCUGCGGGAUUCACUUAUUUCAGAUUAGCCGAGAUUGCGUCCAGGCUCAAGGACUUGGAAAUCAGCGCUUCCGUUUUUGCCCGUAGGUUAUUACUUAACCUACCUUGUAUGAUAUCGGCUUAGUUUAGUGUUGCUCUGAUAAACAUUUUCUUGAAGUUUGAUGGAUGUUGUAUUAUGGGUUGUUGUUGCUUACGGAGGAUUAUGUUGGGAUUUGAGCUUUUCGGAUGUAAUAUAUGUGC
rnacentral:lncRNA from 1 species